rnacentral:tRNA from 1 species
GGCUGGAGAGAUGGCUCAGUGGUUAAGAGCACUGACUGCUCUUCCAAAGGUCCUGAGUUCAAUUCCCAGCAGCCA